CUUGAAAUUCAUAGAGCCUUUUAUCAUCGAAGGAUGUACUCACAGAACACAAUGAGUGGACUGUGCUUUUCUAAACUUUUGUCCAUAGCAGUGGGAUAUGUUUUCUGCAGUGCACGGCUACCCUCUAAUGUCGCGAUGGCUGGCUAAGAGAUCUAGGUUCAUGGCUCGCUAGGUUCAGCCGUUCCACUAACAGCUGUCUCCGAGCACUUGCACAGGUUGAGUUGAGCAUAUGUAUACCUACCUUAGUCGAUAGAAGAUUUUAGAAGCGCAUUGUUUCAGAAUUAAGAACUUUAUGUCUCUGAUAUGGAAGCAAAAAUAAUUAUGUGUGGUUUCAUGGACUCUUACCUUAUUGAUGGGCACCAUGCAGAGCUUGAGGAGAUGUAGGCCAGUGUGCCACCUCUUUCGCUUU